rnacentral:tRNA from 1 species
GCCGAGGUAGCCUAAUCAGGUAGGGCAGGAGGCUGCAAACCUCCCAAACCAGACGAACGCAAAUGAAGUCUCGGUGUGUGGGUUCGAAUCCCACCCUCGGCG